UCGAACGCGAAAGGGGCUUCGGCCCUGAGUAGAGUGGCGAACGGGUGAGUAACACGUGGGUGAUCUACCUUCAAGUGGGGGAUAACGUCCCGAAAGGGACGCUAAUACCGCAUGACGUUCCGGGUUUCAAGACCUGGAAACCAAAGCCGGGGACCGCAAGGCCUGGCGCUGGAAGAGGAGCCCGCGUCCGAUUAGCUAGUUGGCGGGGUAAUGGCCCACCAAGGCGACGAUCGGUAGCCGGCCUGAGAGGGCGGACGGCCACACUGGAACUGAGACACGGUCCAGACUCCUACGGGAGGCAGCAGUGGGGAAUUGUUCACAAUGGGCGCAAGCCUGAUGACGCAACGCCGCGUGGGGGAUGAAGGUCUUCGGAUUGUAAACCCUUGUCGAACGGGAAGAACGACUCGCGCACGAACACUGCGCGGGACUGACGGUACCGUUAAAGGAAGCCACGGCUAACUCUGUGCCAGCAGCCGCGGUAAUACAGAGGUGGCAAGCGUUG
rnacentral:rRNA from 1 species